UGUAAGCGUAUACCAAAGUUGUUGCAGUUAAAACGCUCGUAGUCGGAAUUUGGCAGUUCCGGAUGUGUGCACGUCGUGUGCGCACUUCGCGGGGAUUGCUUUUGUGGUCUUGCGUAGGAUGAGGCACUUUUAUUAGUGAACGUCCUCACGCAACCACUUUUUACUGUGAGAAAAUCAGAGUGCUCAAAGCAGGCAUUUGCCGUGAAUGUAUUAGCAUGGAAUAAUAGAAUAGGACUUGGUUCUAUUUUGUUGGUUUGUUGGGACUGAGUAAUGAUUAAGAGGGACAGUUGGGGGCAUUUGUAUUUCGGUGCUAGAGGUGAAAUUCUUAGAUUACCGAAAGACAAACUGCUGCUAAAGCGUCUGCCAAGGAUGUUUUCAUUGA
rnacentral:rRNA from 1 species